GUGAAUCAUCGAAUCUUUGAACGCAAAUUGCGCUUCCUGGUAUCCCGGGAAGUAUGCCUGUUUGAGGGUCAGUAUUAACAAAAAAUCGGUUUGGUUGGAAAUUGUGACGUUUCCUGAGGGUGGGCUUAUCUUAACUUUUUGGUUUAAGGGGCUUAUGAUUGACCUUUUUUGCGCAUGUUUAGACGUACAUAAAUGUUGUUUUAUUCGUCUAUGCUUAAUGCCAAAAUCUGAUUAGAUGCUAUCAUAUCGUGUGGCGUUGUGGCCAGAAA
rnacentral:misc_RNA from 1 species